rnacentral:sRNA from 1 species
GGAGAACAACCUGGAAUCUCUCGCCUGUUAUGAUGACAGGUCAACUUGAAGGUCAGUUUUUAAAGUCCAUUGUUAGUAUACAGAAAGCAAAGAAGAUUUUGGACAUUGGCAUGUUUACGGGAUACAGCGCACUGUCAUUAGCAGAAGCUUUACCAGAGGAUGGCGAAAUGUGGACCAUAGAUUUUGAUGAAUAUCUCAAGACUUUUGUACAAAACAUAACAC